rnacentral:rRNA from 1 species
UACGGAGGGGGUUAGCGUUGUUCGGAAUUACUGGGCGUAAAGCGCGCGUAGGCGGACCAGAAAGUUGGGGGUGAAAUCCCGGGGCUCAACCCCGGAACGGCCUCCAAAACUCCUGGUCUUGAGUUCGAGAGAGGUGAGUGGAAUUCCGUGUGUAGAGGUGAAAUUCGUAGAUAUUCGGAGGAACACCAGUGGCGAAGGCGGCUCACUGGCUCGAUACUGACGCUGAGGUGCGAAAGUGUGGGGAGCAAACAGG